GUAGUACUUCCUCCGUCCCAAAUUCUUGUUUUAAAUUUGUUUAAAAAUGAAUGUAUCUAAAUACUAAAACACGACUAGAUACAUUUAUAUCUAGACAAAUCUAAAACAAGAAUUUAGGACGGAGGGAGUAUAUU
rfam:Hordeum vulgare subsp. vulgare, WGS project CAJW01000000 data, contig: morex_contig_1570424